GUGGGGAAUAUUGGACAAUGGGCGCAAGCCUGAUCCAGCCAUGCCGCGUGAGUGAUGAAGGCCUUAGGGUUGUAAAGCUCUUUCAGUGUGGACGAUAAUGACGGUACCCACAGAAGAAGCCCCGGCUAACUUCGUGCCAGCAGCCGCGGUAAUACGAAGGGGGCUAGCGUUGUUCGGAUUUACUGGGCGUAAAGCGCACGUAGGCGGAUCGUUAAGUCGGGGGUGAAAUCCUGGAGCUCAACUCCAGAACUGCCUUCGAUACUGGCGAUCUUGAGUCCGGAAGAGGUGAGUGGAACUCCUAGUGUAGAGGUGGAAUUCGUAGAUAUUAGGAAGAACACCAGUGGCGAAGGCGACUCACUGGUCCGGUACUGACGCUGAGGUGCGAAAGCGUGGGGAGCAAACAGGAUUAGAUACCCGGGUAGUCC
rnacentral:rRNA from 1 species